CCUACGGGAGGCAGCAGUGAGGAAUAUUGGUCAAUGGACGAGAGUCUGAACCAGCCAAGUAGCGUGAAGGAUGACUGCCCUAUGGGUUGUAAACUUCUUUUAUAUGGGAAUAAAAUGUUCCACGUGUGGGAUUUUGUAUGUACCAUAUGAAUAAGGAUCGGCUAACUCCGUGCCAGCAGCCGCGGUAAUACGGAGGAUACGAGCGUUAUCCGGAUUUAUUGGGUUUAAAGGGAGCGUAGGUGGAGUGUUAAGUCAGUUGUGAAAGUUUGCGGCUCAACCGUAAAAUUGCAGUUGAAACUGGCAGUCUUGAGUACAGUAGAGGUGGGCGGAAUUCGUGGUGUAGCGGUGAAAUGCUUAGAUAUCACGAAGAACUCCGAUUGCGAAGGCAGUUCACUGGACUGCAACUGACACUGAGGCUCGAAAGUGUGGGUAUCAAACAGGAUUAGAUACCCCGGUAGUC
rnacentral:rRNA from 1 species